rnacentral:lncRNA from 1 species
GAAAGUCUCUCCCCAGGGACCAUGACUGAGAGCUCAUUGGCUGUAGCUGGGUCACAUGGCCACAGAAAAAAGAGUCUGGGAAGAUGAGAAUAUUUUUUAGCUGGGCACUUUGCUGUCCUUACAACAGCAAGAUUUUGUUAGGAACGAAGAGGGUAGUGAUAAGCUCCUCACCUCCUGCCUGCCUAAGCUCCAGUUGCAAGGAAGGGAGAUAGAGUGAGAAGAAUAAAAAUAAAGAAGUUGCUCAUCUCUUCAUUUUGCAUGAGGACCUUGAAGUUUGCACAGCAUGGUGACGGUGACACCAAAUGAAAAGAGGACUGAGAACAGACUGUAAGCGCCCAGCAUAAUGAGCAUUAACACUUACUGUGAUGGGGAGACUGUUUCCAUGAAUGCCAACUGAGAUCUAGAAGACUGUGUUAGGUUUUUAACAGCCAUAUCCUACAAUGGGAUUAUAUUUGAGUUUGUAACCACCUAAAAUCCUCAGACCUUCUUUUUUUUUCCCAUGAAAAUGACAAUUCAGCCUGCCAAAAAUUCAGAUUGCUAAAUAAGGGAUACCAAUCAGAUGUUUUCUAUCUUCCCUGGAGAAACUAAGGAACUUCAAGUUUAAAAUGCCUCAUGAAGAAUUGGGAUAAAAUAUAAAGAAUUUCCUGAAGAAAGGGAGGAAGAUGAUUGUGUACUGAAUGAUUGCAAUAGAACAUCUGAAAAUGUAAAAUGAAAAGGAUAACUGAACUUUUCUAUGAAGAGCUUGAUUAUGGCCAUACAUUGAAUUAAUGAGCAUUCAGUGAGUCCACAGUUCUUUGUUGAGGGUCUCCUGCAUGCCAUACACUGUGCUACGUCCUGGGGCUCCAUAAAUUCUUUGUUAACAAAAUAAAAAUACCCCCAUACAGAGAAGCACUUUCAGAUACAUUACCUCAUCUCUAACAGAACACACAGUCAACAGAACCAUGCGGAGGCUGAUCAAUAUUCUAAACAAUAGUUUCAUAAAUACUGUCCCUAGACUCGUCUACUCACUGGGAGCUGCAGGGGUUGGUAUUCUAGCUAGCAAAUGAAACAAUCUGCAUACAUGCUUAAAUCAAGUUUGUUUAAAAUUAGAAAAUGGCAUAAUGUAUUCAAAAGUUUUUAUGCAGUAUUUGCAUGGAAUUUAAAAUAUGCUACAUGCUUUGAAUUAGGAGAGCAGAGCGAUGUGUAGCUCAUCUAUUGGUCUGAUCGAAUGUUUAAAAAUCAAAUUUUAGAGAGCUCUGUACUUAAAUAACUGUAAAAGAAAAUAAAAUCAGAAUGCAUAA